AUGACCGCUGGCGGCGUGCCUAAUACAUGCAAGUCGAGCGAACAGACGAGGAGCUUGCUCCUCUGACGUUAGCGGCGGACGGGUGGGUAACACGUGGAUAACCUACCUAUAAGACUGGGAUAACUUCGGGAAACCGGAGCUAAUACCGGAUAAUAUAUUGAACCGCAUGGUUCAAUAGUGAAAGACGGUUUUGCUGUCACUUAUAGAUGGAUCCGCGCCGCAUUAGCUAGUUGGUAAGGUAACGGCUUACCAAGGCAACGAUGCGUAGCCGACCUGAGAGGGUGAUCGGCCACACUGGAACUGAGACACGGUCCAGACUCCUACGGGAGGCAGCAGUAGGGAAUCUUCCGCAAUGGGCGAAAGCUUGACGGAGCAACGCCGCGUGAGUGAUGAAGGUCUUCGGAUCGUAAAACUCUGUUAUUAGGGAAGAACAAAUGUGUAAGUAACUAUGCACGUCUUGACGGUACCUAAUCAGAAAGCCACGGCUAACUACGUG
rnacentral:rRNA from 1 species